rnacentral:lncRNA from 1 species
UAGUCUCUGUUUGUGUGGAGCGCACCUCUUAUCUCAAGUUAGGACAUUACUUUCAAAAGAGAUGCUUCAAAUAGGACGUGCAGCAGAGGCUUUGAUUCACAGUCCGAGAGCGAGGCUUCACCCGUGAAACGACCGCGACUCGUAGAGAACCCCGAGCGGCCUGAGGAGAGCGGCCGGUCGAAGCAGAAGAGCCGGCGCCGGUGCUUUCAGUGCCAGACGAAGCUGGAGCUGGUGCAGCAGGAACUGGGCUCCUGUCGCUGUGGGUACGUGUUCUGCAUGUUACAUCGCCUCCCAGAGCAGCACGACUGUACGUUCGACCACAUGGGCCGUGGCCGCGAGGAAGCCAUCAUGAAAAUGGUGAAACUGGACCGGAAAGUGGGGCGCUCCUGCCAGCGCAUCGGGGAGGGGUGCUCCUGAAGGCCAGGCACGGCCACCACACGACGCUGUUCUUAGUUCACUAAUGUUAGCCUUAUUUAGGACAAAGUCAGCCAGACACCUUGUACUGGGCACGCGUCAGACUACAGCCAGCCGUCUUCUUUCUUUAGCCAGCCAUCCUGGUACUGUAGUUUAGGGGUUGAUGGUGGAUGAAAUUGAUGUCUGGCUGGUUACUAAGGUGCCUGCUAGCCAUUGUAUAAAAUUAAAACAUGAAGACUAUUUGUUUUGAGCAUGGCUAGUGGAUUCACAACAACACAUGCCUGUCACUGCUGGAGUCGCACUUACAAAGCCUUAAGCGGAAAGUGUCCAGAGCAGACCGAGGCAGCAGGGCAGGUGCAGGCCGCGCCGCCCACGCGGGCGGCUUUGACAGAAACUCUUCCAUGUUCGGCCUUUCACCUCUUCACUUUCGCUUGGUCCCAGCAGGACCUGAUGGCCACGCGUGCCUUGGCCACAGGAAGCUGCUGAGACUGACCACGUGGCCGGGCUGGGCUGGGCCCUCACUCUCCCUCAGCUGGAAGUCAGGGUGGGGACAGAUUCUAUGGAGGAAGCUUUUGAACCUGUUGUUACGGGGAAACUCAUCACACAAGGAGAGAGACAACUCCACUUUGAAAAUUAGCUCCCCUCAAGCCUAGUCCAUGCACGGUCUCCACCUUUUCUGCACAGGAUCCGUGGUUGUGACCCGGCUCUGGCUGUCGCUUGCUGAGAGCAUUGGUGUUGCUCCUGGCAGGCCUGAGGCGUCAACCAGAUGUCCAUGGCCACGAGAGUCAGUGAGCGCACAGGGGAUCUGCUGCUGCCCUUCCUGGCAGGAGUCUCCUCUUGUUUCUAUGCAGCCAUAGUUUGAGGACAACCAG